UGGGUGACUUGUAAGGGUGGAUGG
rnacentral:piRNA from 1 species